AGCUGUUGAAGACAGAGCUGGGGUCCUUCUUCACGGAGUACCUGCAGAACCAGCUGCUGACAAAAGGCAUGGUGAUCCUUCGGGACAAGAUUCGCUUCUACGAGGAGCUGCAGAGAGACAAGGCGGCGGCGGCUGCUGUGCUGGGUGCAGUGAGGAAGAGGCCCUCGGUGGUGCCCAUGGCUGGCCAGGAUCCUGCGCUGAGCACGAGUCACCCGUUCUACGACGUGGCCAGACAUGGCAUUCUGCAGGUGGCAGGGGACGACCGCUUUGGAAGACGUGUUGUCACGUUCAGCUGCUGCCGGAUGCCGCCCUCCCACGAGCUGGACCACCAGCGGCUGCUGGAGUAUUUGAAGUACACACUGGACCAGUACGUUGAGAACGAUUAUACCAUCGUCUAUUUCCACUACGGGCUGAACAGCCGGAACAAGCCUUCCCUGGGCUGGCUCCAGAGCGCAUACAAGGAGUUCGAUAGGAAAGACGGGGAUCUCACUAUGUGGCCCAGGCUGGUCUCAAACUCCAGGCUCAAGCGAUCCUCCCACCUCAGCCUCCCAAAGUACUGGGAUUACAGGCAUAAGCCACCAUGCCAAGCCAACACUCUUGUUCUUAAAGGGCCAGACAGUCAGCAUUUUAGCUUUGCAGGCCUGUUGCUCUAUUGCAACAACUCUGCCGGACCGUGUUCCAGUAAAACAUUAUGGACGCUGAAAUGUGAAUUUCAUGUCAUUUUCACGUGUCAUGAAAUAUUCUUCUGUUUUUUUUUUUUUCAACCACUUAAAAACAUAAAGCCAUUUUUAGCUUGCAGGCUAUACCAAAGCAGGAAGCAGGCUAGGUUCGUCCUGCCUGCCCAUUCUCCCACCCCUGGUCCAGUGAAUUACUGGCAAAGAAACAACUGCAUGACCGUUUCUUCACUAAAGCCUCUUCUUGCUUGCACAGCCCUUUACAGUCUGCAAGGGGCAUUCUGAUGCCUCUUGUUGGUGAGAUGGGCAGCCUCAUUUUACAGAUGAGGACAUAGGCCCCAGAGAGCAAGUGACUUACCCGUGGUCACUCAGCUUGUGUGUGGUAGGGCAGGAUCCCACCCCAGGCCCCCGCCUCCCUCUCCCACCCAACGCUACUCACCACUCGGCCAUGGCCUGGAGCCGGCAGACUUUUCCUGAGGGACGUCCGGCCUAAUAAUCAACUUUGCAAUAUAUCUGGCUCGUAGACUGCGGCGAUGGGCGUUGAUGUGGAUAUCCUAGAUUCCUCUGGGUUUUCCUUCUUCAAAGUCCUUUCAAACCU
rnacentral:sRNA from 1 species